CUACUUCAUCAUUUAGGGUACUGUAGAUCUGUAUCCAGUUGCAUUUGUGAAAGAGUCGAGAAAAGUCGGAAUGUGCUCUAAGCUUCAAUAUAUUAUUCUACUACUCAGCUUUUUGGCUGUGUGCAUUCGCUUAACAUUAUGUGAUGAUGGGCCAGUUCCUGAAGUCAUUACUGAAAGCGAGCCUCCGUAUACAACAGCAGAUGUCUUUGAUUUUUAAGUUAAAAAGUCAAGAUGACAGUUUGAGAUAUGGAUAUAGAUACCAAGCGGAAAUGAAUAAAUAUUGUUAAAAUAGUAAAAGUCUGUUAAAUAAUGCUAAUAGAAACCAUAAACCGACUAUGCUUCGUCGUAGUCUUAGACACAACUACAAGCAAACAACUACAAACUGGUUUAAUAUAAUUAUUUGGCCAAAUUCAAGUUCA